CCCCUAAGCUGACGGGCCUCGAUCCCGCAAAAUUUUAGUUAACAACUAAAUAUUCAAUCCAGCGAACUUCAACCUA
rnacentral:tRNA from 1 species